rnacentral:rRNA from 1 species
UUUAUAGUAAAGUAUAUUUUUGAGUAGUAAUAGAGUUCUUAAAACUAAAAGAGUUUGGCGGUACUUAAGUCUAUUUAGAGGAACCUGUAAAUUAAACGAUAAUCCACGAUAAUCUUACUUAAUUUCAAGUAUGUAUAUCGUUGUCAGCAGAAUAAUUUUUAGAAUAUUUUCAAGAUAUAUUAAUAUUAUAUGUCAAAUCAAGGUGCAGUUUAUAAUUAAGAUUUUAUGGGUUACAAUAUUAUAAAAUAUACGAAUUUGUUUAUGGAUAUAAAUUAUGAAGGAGGAUUUAAUUGUAAUCACUUUUAUUUAGGAGUGAUGAAAUAGUACUAAAGUAUGC